rnacentral:misc_RNA from 1 species
UUCGAUCCUUGGUUUGGAAAGAAAACACAGACCAUGCCUUGUUUGGUUGAGUGUCAAUGCCUAUUGGAUGCAUUAUCCAAUCCUUGGUUCUUGACCUAACAUUGGAAAGAAAACGAAAACGAUGCCUUUGAUUGAGGGUCAAUGGGAGUUCAUAGUGUACCCUUUUACAUUCAGGAGACGCACUAUCAAAGUGGAGAGAGGAUUGG